GGAUGCGAUCAUACCAGCACUAAAGCACCGGAUCCCAUCAGAACUCCGAAGUUAAGCUUGCUUGGGCGAGAGUAGUACUAGGAUGGGUGACCUCCUGGGAAGUCCUCGUGUUGCAUUCCC
rnacentral:rRNA from 1 species